rnacentral:rRNA from 1 species
CCUACGGGCGGCUGCAGUGGGGGAUAUUGCACAAUGGGGGGAACCCUGAUGCAGCGACGCCGCGUGUGGGAAGACGGUCCUCUGGAUUGUAAACCACUGUCCCCAGGGACGAAAAUGACGGUACCUGGGGAGGAAGCUCCGGCUAACUACGUGCCAGCAGCCGCGGUAAUACGUAGGAAGCGAGCGUUGUCCGGAAUUACUGGGUGUAAAGGGAGCGUAGGCGGGGAUGCAAGUUGGGUGUCAAAACUACCGGCUCAACUGGUAGUCGCACCCAAAACUGCAGCUCUUGAGUGAAGUAGAGGCAGGCGGAAUUCCUAGUGUAGCGGUGAAAUGCGUAGAUAUUAGGAGGAACACCAGUGGCGAAGGCGGCCUGCUGGGCUUUUACUGACGCUGAGGCUCGAAAGUGUGGGGAGCAAACAGGAUUAGAUACCCUUGUAGUC